rnacentral:misc_RNA from 1 species
CAACUGUGAUACGUAGUGCGAAUUGCAGGGUUCAGUGAGUCAUCGAAUUUUUGAACGCAACUGGCGCGGCAGCUCAAGCGUUGUCGCAUGUUUCUUUGUGUGUCUUUUCUUUUUCGUAAGUGUUUCUCCUUGUUUUCUUUUACGAGGGGAAGCGAUCGUUGGUCGUGUUUUCUGCGGAAUCGACUCAAGGCCUGUCUCGUUUUUAGACAUCAUGGGAUGGACGUUGCCUCUGUGCAUGCCAACCUGUGAACUUGUCACAACCCACUGAAAAAGACCACAAAUGAAACAAGAGUACCCGCUGAAUUUAA